rnacentral:lncRNA from 1 species
CAGAAUUCAGCUCAACGAAGGUUAACAAAUGGAAGAUUUAUUUUAAACUUUGUAGACGAAAAAUAGCUGGAUUGGUUUUGUUGGCAAGCUUUACGUAAGACUUUUUGUUUCAUUCAGGUCCUGGUACAAUGUCAGCUAAGGCCUGUGUAAGAGCAACAUGACAGAAGGCUUAGAGCAAAUACCUCCUGGUUUCAAGUUGCAGGGUUAGCCUACCCGUUCCCCCAUUCCACUCCUCCCCUGCACAAGAGCCAGCUACCAGGUGAAGCUACCCCUCUGCUUGUCCUUUCUCCAGAGCAGAGGAGCAAAAGCAGGGCUGCUGCACUGUGGAGAAGGACAAGCUGACCUGCUUCAUUGUUCAGUCUUUGGCCAUAAGCUUCAAGUGCCAGUCCUCUGGG